rnacentral:rRNA from 1 species
AGGACGAACGCUGGCGGCGUGCUUAACACAUGCAAGUCGAGCGGAAAGGCCCUUCGGGGUACUCGAGCGGCGAAUGGGUGAGUAACACGUGAGCAACCUGCCCUUAGCUCUGGGAUAGCUCCGGGAAAACCGGAAUUAAUACCGGAUACGACCUAGGCCGACAUCGGCCAUGGUGGAAAGUUUUUCGGCUAGGGAUGGACUCGCGGCCUAUCAGCUAGUUGGUGGGGUAAAGGCCUACCAAGGCGACGACGGGUA